rnacentral:rRNA from 1 species
UGUUGGCAUGAGUAGCGAGAUGUGGGUGAGAAUCCCACAGGCCGUAAACCCAAGGUUUCCAGGGGAAGGUUCGUCCGCCCUGGGUUAGUCGGGACCUAAGCUGAGGCCGAAAGGCGUAGGGGAUGGACAACAGGUUGAUAUUCCUGUACUACCGAUAACCGUUUGAGAGAAGGGAUGACACAGUAGGAUAAGCUAAGCACACUGUUGGUUAUGUGUGCCCAAGCAUUGAGGCAGUCAAAG